AUCCUCGAGCAAGGGCAUCAGGUAUGUCAGGGAGGACCUCGUCCGAGACAACCGUUUUGCCAUUUGGAAACUACGUUAGACCAACUCCCAGUCGAGGUUUUUUGACCGGCGGGGGAAUUUUGCACCUCAUCUCUUUGC
rnacentral:snRNA from 1 species